UAAAACCCCCGACUUCGGAAGGGGUGUAUUUAUUAGAUACAAAACCAAUGCCCUUCGGGGCUCUUUGGUGAUUCAUGAUAACUAUACGAAUCGCACGGCCUUGCGCCGGCGAUGGUUCAUUCAAAUUUCUUCCCUAUCAACUUUCGAUGUUUGGGUAUUGGCCAAACAUGGUUGCAACGGGUAACGGAGGGUUAGGGCUCGACCCCGGAGAAGGAGCCUGAGAAACGGCUACUACAUCCAAGGAAGGCAGCAGGCGCGCAAAUUACCCAAUCCCGACUCGGGGAGGUAGUGACAAUAAAUACUGAUACAGGGCCCUUUCGGGCCUUGUAAUUGGAAUGAGUACAAUUUAAAUCCCUUAACGAGGAACAAUUGGAGGGCAAGUCUGGUGCCAGCAGCCGCGGUAAUUCCAACUCCAAUAGCGUAUAUUAAAGUUGUUGUGGUUAAAAAGCUCGUAGUUGAACCUUGGGCCUGGCUGGCCGGUCCGCCUCACCGCGUGCACUGGUCCGGCCGGGCCUUUCCCUCUGUGGAACCCCAUACCCUUCACUGGGCGUGUGGGGGGAAACAGGAUAUUUUUCU
rnacentral:rRNA from 1 species